rnacentral:rRNA from 1 species
AAUUGGUCAAUGGGCGAGAGCCUGAACCAGACAAGUCGUGUGAGGGACGACUGCCCUAUGGGUUGUAAACCUCUUUUGUAUGGGGGGAAUAAGCUUUACGAGAAGAGUGAUGACAGUAACAUACGAAUAAGCAUCGGCUAACUCCGUGCCAGCAGCCGCGGUAAUACGGAGGAUGCGAGCGUUAUCCGGAUUUAUUGGGUUUAAAGGGUGCGUAGGCGGCAUUAUAAGUUAGUGGUAAAAUAUUGGUGCUUCACCUCACUACGCCAUUAAUACUGUAGAGCUAGAGAACAGACGAGGUAGGCGGAAUAAGUUAAGUAGCGGUGAACUGCAUAGAUAUAACUUAGAACACCGAUAGCGAAGGCAGCUUACCAGACUGAGUCUGACGCUGAUGCACGAGAGCAUGGGUAGCGAACAGG